rnacentral:rRNA from 1 species
GAUGAACGCUAGCUACAGGCUUAACACAUGCAAGUCGGGGGGAAACGAUAUUGGAAGCUUGCUUCCGAUAGGCGUCGACCGGCGCACGGGUGAGUAACGCGUAUCCAACCUGCCCAUCACUUGGGGAUAACCUUGCGAAAGUAAGACUAAUACCCAAUGACGUCUCUAGAAGACAUCUGAAAGAGAUUAAAGAUUUAUCGGUGAUGGAUGGGGAUGCGUCUGAUUAGCUUGUUGGCGGGGUAACGGCCCACCAAGGCGACGAUCAGUAGGGGCUAUGAGAGGAAGGACCCCCACAUUGGAACGGAGACACGGUCCAAACUCCUACGGGAGGCAGCAGCGAUGAAUAUUGUUCAAUGGGCUAGAGCCUGAACCAGCCAAGUAGCGUGCAGGAUGACGGCCAUAUGGGUUGUAAACUGCUUUUAUAAGGGAAUAAAGUGAGCCACGUGUGGCUUUUUGCAUGUACCUUAUGAAUAAGGACCGGCUAAUUCCGUGCCAGCAGCCGCCGUAA